GAUGAACGCUGGCGGUAUGCCUAACACAUGCAAGUCGUACGAGAGUUUUUUAACUCUAGUGGCGGACGGGUGAGUAACACGUGAGAAUUUGCCUUUUAGGAGGGGGAUAACAAUUGGAAACGAAUGCUAAUACCCCAUAUGCUUUUGAGUGAAAUGGAUUUUAUCCGCCUAGAGAGAAGCUCGCGGCUGAUUAGCUUGUUGGUAAGGUAAGAGCUUACCAAGGCGACGAUCAGUAUCUGGUUUGAGAGGACGAUCAGACACACUGGAACUGAGACACGGUCCAGACUCCUACGGGAGGCAGCAGUGGGGAAUUUUCCGCAAUGGGCGAAAGCCUGACGGAGCAAUACCGCGUGAGGGAAGAAUGCCUAUGGGUUGUAAACCGUCUUUUUUCAGGGUAGGAAUAAAAUGACGUGUACCUGAAGAAUAAGCAUCGGCUAACUCCGUG
rnacentral:rRNA from 1 species